CCGGUGUGCCCCGCCGCUUCCCACACUCCCGUCCGUAAGGAGUCAGCUUCCCGCCUCCUGUCGGGCAACCCCUGAUGAUCGGGACGGGACGCCUGGGCCUCCCCUCCGCCCGCCAGAGGCCCGGUGCAGGGGCACGCACCUGGGCAGGUGCGGAGGUUCCCACGCGACCGGAAGGCUGUGUGGGAGGGGAGGGACCCUGAGCCAGGAAGGGAGGACUGCGCAUGCGCAGGCUCUAGCCGGCGGCAGCCUUCCAGGAAGGCCUGGCACGUGUUCCAAAGAUGAGGAAAGAAGGCCAUCCCCUAGACUUGUCGGCUUGGAAUUUCAGAUCACGAAGAAAGACAGGCCUGUAAGAGCUUCAGCUGAAGAAAACACUAUUUCAUUACAAAGGAACGAGAAUCCGUCUGGCAUUAGCAACCGUGGAGGCUAGAAGACAGGGAAGCGAUGCCUUCAAAGACUAUGACCAGCCGAACUCCCAGCCAAGGGUGAAAGCAAAACAAAACAAAAAUCCAGACAGGCAGGAAUCAGAUGGUUCACCCCCAUACACGUCUUUUUAGUGGAAGUUACCUGAGACUGUACUCCAGGAAAACGAAGGCAUAUCCAAGGAAAAGAAAGACAGGCUCUGGAGACAGUGAUCUCAACGUGGGAGGACAAGAAAGAGAAGUUCUAGGAUAACAGGGAUGCGGAAGACUGGAGACGAAGCCAGGCAGCGUGGAACAGGAGAAUGGAGAUCUGGGGAGACGGGGAGCUGCACGGCCGGUGUGAUGUGGAGUCUGAAAAUGUGAAGGAGGUGAUCGAGGCAAAUGAUGCAAGAAAGCCAAAAAGCAAGUCAAUAUUUUAGGUGGAGAGUGAAGAGUGUGAGGCUGACUCAUCUUUACACACCCAGACCAACCAACGGAGCGCCUGGGCACAGCAGCCACCCCUAGAUUGUCUGCACC
rnacentral:lncRNA from 1 species